UUCUUGAUGUCAUAGAUGGUAAAGAAUCUGCCUGCAAUGCGGGAGACCCAGGUUCAAUCUCUGGGUUGGGAAG
rnacentral:tRNA from 1 species